GCAUAUCAAUAAGCGGAGGAAAAGAAACCAACAGGGAUUGCCCCAGUAACGGCGAGUGAAGCGGCAACAGCUCAAAUUUGAAAUCUGGCCCCUAGGGUCCGAGUUGUAAUUUGUAGAGGAUGCUUUUGGUGAGGUGCCGCCCGAGUUCCCUGGAACGGGACGCCGCAGAGGGUGAGAGCCCCGUCUGGCUGGCCACCGAGCCUCUGUAAAGCUCCUUCGACGAGUCGAGUAGUUUGGGAAUGCUGCUCAAAAUGGGAGGUAUAUGUCUUCUAAAGCUAAAUAUUGGCCAGAGACCGAUAGCGCACAAGUAGAGUGAUCGAAAGAUGAAAAGCACCUUGAAAAGAGGGUUAAACAGUACGUGAAAUUGUUGAAAGGGAAGCGCUUGUGACCAGACUUGGGCGCGGCGAAUCAUCCGGGGUUCUCUCCGGUGCACUUCGCCGCGUUCAGGCCAGCAUCAGUUCGGCGCGGGGGAAAAAGGCUUCGGGAACGUGGCUGCCCCGGCAGUGUUAUAGCCCGUUGCAUAAUACCCUGCGCUGGACUGAGGACCGCGCAUCUGCAAGGAUGCUGGCGUAAUGGUCACCAGCGACCCGUCUUGAAACACGGACCAAGGAGUCGUCUUCGUAUGCGAGUGUUCGGGUGUCAAACCCCUACGCGUAAUGAAAGUGAACGCAGGUGAGAGCUUCGGCGCAUCAUCGACCGAUCCUGAUGUUCUCGGAUGGAUUUGAGUAAGAGCAUACGGGGCCGGACCCGAAAGAAGGUGAACUAUGCCUGUAUAGGGUGAAGCCAGAGGAAACUCUGGUGGAGGCUCGCAGCGGUUCUGACGUGCAAAUCGAUCGUCAAAUAUGGGCAUGGGGGGCGAAAGACUAAUCGAACCUUCUAGUAGCUGGUUUCCGCG
rnacentral:rRNA from 1 species